UGUGAGGAGGGAGGACCCCUGUGAGGGUUCGGAGGACUCCCGGUGAGGGAGGGGGCUGGGGGACACUCUGAGAGGGGCGAUCUUUGGGCUCUGAGGAGGGGGGAUCCCCGUGUGGUGGGCGCUCAGCCAGAGAGCAAAUCCCGCCACAAAGGUCUAACCUCGGUCUUCAUUCUUACAGUUCUCAAUCUCUUCCCUUAAGCAAACGCCAAAACCACCUUGGGUAAGGUCUUGAGGCGAGUGCGACCCUAGGAUUGCUCUCCAGUAGAGGGCAGAUGGGUAUUUAAGAAAGGAAAAGUGCUGAAAUGUAGCCAAACACGCCCAAGUGCUGCUUCCUGCCCCGGAAUGUUUUCACCAGUCGAGAGUCUACAUUGAAUAGGAGCUGCUAUGGUCAAUUGCAGGAAGAAACAUUGUUUCUGGGCUGAGAAGGGCAGGAGGGAGGAAGCGGUGGAAGCAGAGGCUGUGGAUUGUGCCACCGUCCCCAGAGCCCCCUGCCAGCCCCUCGGGCAAGGUGAAAACUUUUGGCUUUGGAUUCUGUCAGCCCCAUUGGGGUGAAACACUUUGGGUAUUCCAGACUUGGAAUUGUGUCCCAAGAGGCGAGGAGUGGAAGGAGGAGCGGGUGACUGCAGGGUGGGCACUCCUCGGGGCAGAGCUGGGCCCGGGGGUCUCUGUCACACACCUGGAGCUCCGGGGAUUUACUGCCCCGGUUUGGGAUUCCCCCCGGCAGCUGGCCACAACCCAGGCCUCAGCAAUAAAGCAGGAAUGGCUCCUCACCCCUUUUUCAGCAGGAAAAAUGUUUUUCCUCCUUUCCCUCCCAACUUUUCAUCACUGGUAACGCUUUUAUUUUCCUUCCACCUCCUUCCAACCUUUGAAAUUCACCCAGGUGGGAUCUCAGCCACCUUCCCACAUUUCCCUAGGGAUGCCCACCAGCCUGGAUCCGCCUAAAGACGCUGUCACCUCCAAAUCCUGGCACUUGUACAGGAAAAUUGCUCUUUUUUCCUCUCUUUUUGGUUAAAUCCGGGGCUGUUCCCGCGGUUCCAAGAGCUGCCCCCUCCAGCCUCCACCUCCCGUGCCAAAAAGUGCUUUGAAACCUGCAGAGAUCCGGAGCUUUUCCACAGAAUUCUCCCCAGCCAGGUGAUCUGACAGAUAUUCUGGGGUGUCAAUACCUGCAUUGUUGGGAAUGGAACAAAUCCCAGUGGUGAAAGCAGCUGGAUUAGUGCUGAGCUGCCUGGGAAUUCCAGCCUGAGCACAGACCUUGUGCAAAUCCCGGGGACCAGCUCUGCAGUGGCAACAAAAAUAUUCUCUUGCUAUCUUGCUUCAAACAUUUGCAGAGGUGUGGAAGGGAUUUUCCCCUUUCAUCCAUGAUUUUCUUCUCCCAAAAUUGUUAAUUUUUGGAUUCAGGCAACGUUGAGUGUUUGUCCCGUGACACUCUCAGGGAAAACCAUCCUUCACCUGUUUGUUUCAGGAAGAAUUUGAGGGAGUUUUUCAUCAAAACACCCAAAAUAAGAAAUUCCAGGGUUUUACAAUAUUUAGGCAGAUAUUCUACUUCCCACACCAGCCAGGGCUGUAAACUGGCGGCACAUGGGAAUCCAGACGUGACAGCCUGGAAGUCUGGUUGUCUUUGGAGAUACAAAUGUCACUUUUUAAAACCAAAAUGUCUCUUUUUAAAGAACUAAAACCCUUUUUUUAACAUGCAGCUGAUCUGCACUGCGCCUUCCCCACUGCCACCCUCAGCUAUUGCCAUCUUCUCCCCAAAACAGGUGAUUUUGCCAAAAAACCCCUUCAGCUGGGAAAAAAACUUCCCCUCUGGAAGGGGAAAUUAAAAAUAAAAAGUCCGUGGGGCUCAUGGGAACUGGUUUGGGUUAUUUUGGGAGGAUAAAGCCGAGGAUGUUGUCACCUUUUGGAGGGGAACCCCUGGUUUCAUUUCUGGAGGUGUCCGUGUCUCAACGCCAACCAAAACCGAGGUGGAUUUAUCUCUGCCUGGAAUUCAGACCCGGCUGCGCCCCCAGCUCUUCCACAGAAAACCACCGGCAGCUUUUUUAGCCAAAAGCAGCUUUUUUAGCCAAAAGCAGCAUUUUUCUGGUCAGCGAAUUCCCUCCCACGGAGCCCAGGCCGGGCUGUGCCGGGUCAGGGCCUUUCCUGCCCGCGCCGGUCCCGGGAGUGCGUCCGUGCCAGCGUGGG